GACGAACGCUGGCGGCGUGCUUAACACAUGCAAGUCGAACGGAAAGGCCCUGCUUUUGUGGGGUUCUCGAGUGGCGAACGGGUGAGUAACACGUGAGUAACCUGCCCUUGUCUUUGGGAUAACUUCAGGGAACUGGGGCUAAUACCGGAUAGGAGCUCCUGCUGCAUGGUGGGGGUUGGAAAGUUUCGGCGUUUGGGGAUGGACUCGCGGCUUAUCAGCUUGUUGGUGGGGUAGUGGCUUACCAAGGCUUUGACGGGUAGCCGGCCUGAGAGGGUGACCGGCCACAUUGGGACUGAGAGACGGCGCAGACUCCUACGGGAGGCAGUAGUGGGGAAUAUUGCACAAUGGGCGGAAGCCAGAUGCAGCAACGCCGCGUGCGGGAUGACGGCCUUCGGGUUGUAAACCGCUUUCGCCUGUGACGAAGCGUGAGUGACGGUAAUGGGUAAAGAAGCACCGGCUAACUACGUG
rnacentral:rRNA from 1 species